rnacentral:rRNA from 1 species
GCUAUAGGGGCGGCCGAUGGCGGAUUAGCUAGUUGGUGGGGUAAAGGCCUACCAAGGCGACGAUCCGUAGCUGGUCUGAGAGGACGACCAGCCACACUGGGACUGAGACACGGCCCAGACUCCUACGGGAGGCAGCAGUGGGGAAUUUUGGACAAUGGGCGAAAGCCUGAUCCAGCAAUGCCGCGUGUGUGAAGAAGGCCUUCGGGUUGUAAAGCACUUUUGUCCGGAAAGAAAUCCCUGAUCCUAAUACGGUCGGGGGAUGACGGUACCGGAAGAAUAAGCACCGGCUAACUACGUGCCAGCAGCCGCGGUAAUACGUAGGGUGCAAGCGUUAAUCGGAAUUACUGGGCGUAAAGCGUGCGCAGGCGGU